AGGGUUCGAUUAUGGCUCAGGAUGAACGCUAGCGGCACGCUUCAUACAUGCAAGUCGAGGGGCAGCAUAAAUUGCUUGUAAUUUGAUGGCGACCGGCGAACGGGUGCGUAACGCGUAUGCAACUUACCUUUUACUAGAGAAUAGCCAAGAGAAAUUUUGAUUAAUGCUCUAUACUCUUAUUAACUCACAUGAGUUUUUAAGAAAAGCUCCGGCGGUAAAAGAUGGGCAUGCGUCCUAUUAGCUUGUAGGUGAGGUAACGGCUCACCUAAGCUCCGAUAGGUAGGGGUCCUGAGAGGGAGAUCCCCCACACUGGUACUGAGACACGGACCAGACUUCUACGGAAGGCAGCAGUAAGGAAUAUUGGACAAUGGAGGAAACUCUGAUCCAGCGAUGCCGCGUGAAGGAAGACGGCCCUAUGGGUUGUAAACUUCUUUUAUACAGGAAUAAACCUAUCCACGUGUGGAUAGCUGAAGGUACUGUAAGAAUAAGGAUCGGCUAACUCCGUGCCAGCAGCCGCGGUAAUAC
rnacentral:rRNA from 1 species